GACGAACGCUGGCGGCGUGCUUAACACAUGCAAGUCGAACGGAAAGGCCUCUUUCGGGGGGUACUCGAGUGGCGAACGGGUGAGUAACACGUGAGUAACCUGCCCUUGACUUUGGGAUAACUUCAGGAAACUGGGGCUAAUACCGGAUAGGAGCUCCUGCUGCAUGGUGGGGGUUGGAAAGUUUCGGCGGUUGGGGAUGGACUCGCGGCUUAUCAGCUUGUUGGUGGGGUAGUGGCUUACCAAGGCUUUGACGGGUAGCCGGCCUGAGAGGGUGACCGGCCACAUUGGGACUGAGAUAAGGCACAGACUCCUACGGGAGGCAGCAGUGGGGAAUAUUGCACAAUGGGUGGAAGCCUGAUGCAGCAACGCCGUGUGCGGGAUGACGGCCUUCGGGUUGUAAACCGCUUUCGCUCAUGACGAAGCUUUGUGUGACGGUAGUGGGUAAAGAAGCACCGGCUAACUACGUG
rnacentral:rRNA from 1 species